rnacentral:tRNA from 1 species
CUAGACUAGUAGGCCUCGAUCCUACAAAAACUUAGUUAACAACUAAUCGCCCAAUCCAGCGGACUUUAAUNUA